UACGUAGGGUGCGAGCGUUUGUCCGGAAUUAUUGGGCGUAAAGAGCUUGUAGGCGGUUUGUCGCGUCUGCUGUGAAAAUCCGGGGCUCAACCCCGGACUUGCAGUGGGUACGGGCAGACUAGAGUGUGGUAGGGGAGACUGGAAUUCCUGGUGUAGCGGUGGAAUGCGCAGAUAUCAGGAGGAACACCGAUGGCGAAGGCAGGUCUCUGGGCCACUACUGACGCUGGAGAAGCGGAAAAGCAUGGGGGAGCGAACAGG
rnacentral:rRNA from 1 species